rnacentral:rRNA from 1 species
CUGUAAGCCUGUGAAGGUGUACUGUGAGGUAUGCUGGAGGUAUCAGAAGUGCGAAUGCUGACAUAAGUAACGAUAAAGCGGGUGAAAAGCCCGCUCGCCGGAAGACCAAGGGUUCCUGUCCAACGUUAAUCGGGGCAGGGUGAGUCGACCCCUAAGGCGAGGCCGAAAGGCGUAGUCGAUGGGAAACAGGUUAAUAUUCCUGUACUUGGUGUUACUGCGAAGGGGGGACGGAGAAGGCUAUGUUGGCCGGGCGACGGUUGUCCCGGUUUAAGCGUGUAGGCUGGUUUUCCAGGCAAAUCCGGAAAAUCAAGGCUGAGGCGUGAUGACGAGGCACUACGGUGCUGAAGCAACAAAUGCCCUGCUUCCAGGAAAAGCCUCUAAGCAUCAGGUAACAUCAAAUCGUACCCCAAACCGACACAGGUGGUCAGGUAGAGAAUACCAAGGCGCUUGAGAGAACUCGGGUGAAGGAACUAGGCAAAAUGGUGCCGUAACUUCGGGAGAAGGCACGCUGAUAUGUAGGUGAAGUCCCUCGCGGAUGGAGCUGAAAUCAGUCGAAGAUACCAGCUGGCUGCAACUGUUUAUUAAAAACACAGCACUGUGCAAACACGAAAGUGGACGUAUACGGUGUGACGCCUGCCCGGUGCCGGAAGGUUAAUUGAUGGGGUCAGCGCAAGCGAAGCUCUUGAUCGAAGCCCCGGUAAACGGCGGCCGUAACUAUAACGGUCCUAAGGUAGCGAAAUUCCUUGUCGGGUAAGUUCCGACCUGCACGAAUGGCGUAAUGAUGGCCAGGCUGUCUCCACCCGAGACUCAGUGAAAUUGAACUCGCUGUGAAGAUGCAGUGUACCCGCGGCAAGACGGAAAGACCCCGUGAACCUUUACUAUAGCUUGACACUGAACAUUGAGCCUUGAUGUGUAGGAUAGGUGGGAGGCUUUGAAGUGUGGACGCCAGUCUGCAUGGAGCCGACCUUGAAAUACCACCCUUUAAUGUUUGAUGUUCUAACGUUGACCCGUGAUCCGGGUUGCGGACAGUGUCUGGUGGGUAGUUUGACUGGGGCGGUCUCCUCCUAAAGAGUAACGGAGGAGCACGAAGGUUGGCUAAUCCUGGUCGGACAUCAGGAGGUUAGUGCAAUGGCAUAAGCCAGCUUGACUGCGAGCGUGACGGCGCGAGCAGGUGCGAAAGCAGGUCAUAGUGAUCCGGUGGUUCUGAAUGGAAGGGCCAUCGCUCAACGGAUAAAAGGUACUCCGGGGAUAACAGGCUGAUACCGCCCAAGAGUUCAUAUCGACGGCGGUGUUUGGCACCUCGAUGUCGGCUCAUCACAUCCUGGGGCUGAAGUAGGUCCCAAGGGUAUGGCUGUUCGCCAUUUAAAGUGGUACGCGAGCUGGGUUUAGAACGUCGUGAGACAGUUCGGUCCCUAUCUGCCGUGGGCGCUGGAGAACUGAGGGGGGCUGCUCCUAGUACGAGAGGACCGGAGUGGACGCAUCACUGGUGUUCGGGUUGUCAUGCCAAUGGCACUGCCCGGUAGCUAAAUGCGGAAGAGAUAAGUGCUGAAAGCAUCUAAGCACGAAACUUGCCCCGAGAUGAGUUCUCCCUGACUCCUUGAGAGUCCUGAAGGAACGUUGAAGACGACGACGUUGAUAGGCCGGGUGUGUAAGCGCAGCGAUGCGUUGAGCUAACCGGUACUAAUGAACCGUGAGG